rnacentral:tRNA from 1 species
GGUUUAAUAGUUUAAGAAAAACACUGAUCUUGUAAGUCAAAAUUAAAAAAAAAUUUUAAACCU